GCCUGGGUGGCUUAGUUGGUUAAGCAUCCGACUUGAGCUCAGAUCAUGAUCUCACGGUUUGUGGGUUCGAGUCCCACAUCGGGCU
rnacentral:tRNA from 1 species